rnacentral:lncRNA from 1 species
GUUGAUUUGACCGGGAAUGGGCUGCGCUGCGAGGGCCACGCGCGGAAAAGACUGGGCCAACCCAGUCAGGCCCAUCUCGCUCUAGGAAUCAGUCGCCUUGCGCACCGUUGGAUGAAAAGGACCACAAUCAUUGGAUUUGUUCUUUCACAUAACGCACGCCCACCAUUGCCUCCCCGAAUUCGACAAUAGAGUAUUGUGGUGUGCACAACUGAAAGAGUAAUCCGCCCCGAUCAGCGAUGCAAUGCAUCCUUGUUUCAUCUGAACGCAGGCUGUCACUCGCACCAGCAAUUACAACACCGGCGGCCAGCGAAACUUCAUGGUAGCCCGCCGUUUGAGCAUCGACGACUCCUUACAGCACCGACGGUCCCGACGAUGCUUCAUUGCACCCUGCCAGAGCACCGACGACUCCUUGCAGCGUCGGCGAUCCUGAUGAUGCUUCAUUGCAGCCCGCCGUCGAAGCAUCGGCGACUCGGUGCAGCACCGCCUUGCGGCGCGUCCUCGCGGCCAUAUGAUGCUCCAUUGCAGCCCAUCGUCUGAGCACCGGUGACUCUUUAU